rnacentral:lncRNA from 1 species
UCACUUUUAACGAUGCACAACUUAUCCCAUGCCACUGUGUCUAAAAUGUCGAUGUGCAUGCAACCUGCUUUAUCUGAAGAUUCUGCUGGCAUCUCUGAGUAUAGUAGGGAUCAACUCAAGAUUGUAAGAAGAACAUUCCUACUUGCAACAGUAAUGCAGUUUCCACAUUCGAUUAACAUGAUUUGACUAGAAUUGAGAAGAUAGAUCAUUUAUCCCAAUAUAAUAUAAUGUGUGCAGUUUAGACUCCAUUAUACAGGUUUUGGGAUGAUUAAAAUAGAAUUAUGCAAACCUAUAUCUAGAAAGUAUAUAUGUGUUAGGACUUUAUUCCACUUACUUCAUUGUCAAAAGAAAUGAGAUGAAGAGAUUAAAAACUAAAGCCACCAAAAAUGAUUCCAAGUUAGUCAAUAAACAAAGAAUUCAACUUCCAAAUAUCACAAUCUCGACCAGAAAAAAAGAAGAAAAAAAUCCUGCAAAUCCCCUCUAUCAAGAACCCUCAAAUCACUUAGCUUGAUUUUCUCAAAUUUAAUGAAACCCCGCGUAACAUUAACCAUUUUACUUAUUUAAUCCAAGAAUAAACCCUGCCCAAAAAGAAAUCACAGAACCCACCUACAUUAUACACAAAUUUAUACAAGAAACCCCAUAACCAUUAAAAGAAUACUUAACUCAAACAUAAUUUGAAAAAAAUAAAACAAAUCCCUUGAUAACUAACCCAUUUCUUGCACAAAACAGUGAACUUGUUCAAAUAAAGGAAGUCAAUUAACAAAGAAAUUAACUUCCAAAUAUCAAAAUCUUGACAAAAAAAAAAAAUGAAACCCUCAAAUCCCCUCAUAUCAAAAACCCUCAAAUUUAAUUUUUACCCAGUAUCAUAAAUCAUUUUUUCAUGGAAACCCCACGUAACAUUCACUAUUUUAAUUCUUAAUAAUCCAAGAAAGAAAACCCCCAAAAAAAGAAAUCACAGAACUCACCUACAUUUCCCUUGCAUACACAAACUUAUACAAGAAACCCCAUAAGUCCAUAACCAACAUAUAAAGAAGUGAACCAGUAAUAAAAAAAAUACACAAAAAAGAUAAAACUCCAAUUAUUUUCCUACAGUACAAAAAAAGUAGACAUAAUAAACAGAGACCAAAAACAGAGAAAAACUCACAAGUUUGGAGGAAUUCGCCACCAUUGCUUGUCUCUUCGCCACCGCACUCGAAACAGACGAAGAGGGUCGUCGUCAUUUCCUCCUUCUGAUGUAAAACCCUUCUCUUCAAGAGCAAGAAAACAAAGAAGAAGAAGACCGUGUACGUUACUUGUUUUAAUUGCACUUGAAACAUGAAGGGACCGUGGUUAUAUUUUGAUAUUCUUUUUUCUAUUAAAAAUAGUAGUAAU